GAUGAAGAACGUAGCGAAAUGCGAUAAGUAGUGUGAAUUGCAGAAUUCAGUGAAUCAUCGAAUCUUUGAACGCACAUUGCGCCCCUUGGUAUUCCAUGGGGCAUGCCUGUUCGAGCGUCAUUUGUACCUUUAAGCUUUGCUUGGUGUUGGGUGUUUGUCCCGAGGGACUCGCCUUAAAGUAAUUGGCAGCCAGUGUUUGGUUUUGAAGCGCAGCACAAGUCGCGAUUCAAGGCUACACGCCCGCUUCCACAAGCCUUUUUUCACUUUUGACCUCGGAUCAGGUAGGGAUACCCGCUGAACUUAAGCAUAUCAAUAAGCGGAGGA
rnacentral:misc_RNA from 1 species